rnacentral:lncRNA from 1 species
AACAGUAAUGAAAGCUGGCUGAGCUAAAACCCAGAGCAUAAUUUCUCACUGGCUGGCUGCUCCAGAUAGUAAUAGCUUUAGUGCCCUUCAGAAUGGAAUUUUCCUGAGCCUGUGAAGAUGUGUGAGGUGUACCCGGCAGGGACCUUGUGACGCUGAUACAUCCAAUGGCCAGGAGAUUUUGGGGGUAGAUUCUGCAUCUAUCCAAACGGUAAGCUUUCUAGAGUUUCAUAUUCCAAAGAGUAUCCUCUCCAUCCUGAUUCAUCAUUUGACGUUGAUAUCCAAAGCAGAACAGUGAAGGACCACAAGGGAGGUGAGGACAUGUUAUAUUAGAUUCAGUAUUUUCUUUUGUGUUUUCUGAGAGGAG